AUUGAACGCUGGCGGCAUGCUUUACACAUGCAAGUCGGACGAGUGUCGAACGGGUGAGUAACGCAUCGGAACGUACCGAGUAAUGGGGAAUAACUGUCCGAAAGGAGAGCUAAUACCGCAUAUUAUCCGAGCGGCCGAUGUCUGAUUAGCUGUUUGGGGGGGUAAAGGCACACCAAGGCGACGAUCAGUCGCGGGUCUGAGAGGAUGAUCGGCACAACUGGGACGGAGACACGGCCCAGACUCCUACGGGAGGCAGAAGUGGGGAAUUUUGGACAAUGGGCGCAAGCCGGAUCCAGCCAUGCCGCGGGUCUGAAGAAGGCCUUCGGGUUGUAAAGGACUUUUGUCAGGGAAGUGGUACCUGAAGAAUAAGCACCGGCUAACUACGUGCCAGCAGCCGCGGUAAUAC
rnacentral:rRNA from 1 species